UGAGGAAUUUUCCGCAAUGGAGGCAACUCUGACGGAGCAACGCCGCGUGCAGGAGGACGCUUUUCGGAGUGUAAACUGCUUUUCUCUGGGACGAGAACGGACGGUACCAGAGGAAGAAGCCCCGGCUAACUACGUGCCAGCAGCCGCGGUAAUACGUAGGGGGCGAGCGUUGUCCGGAGUUACUGGGCGUAAAGGGCAUGCAGGCGGUCAGGCGCGUUUUGUGUGACAGCGGGUGGCUUAACUACCCGAGGAUACGAAAGACGGCAUGACUUGAGAGCGCGAGAGGGACACGGAAUUCCGGGUGGAGUGGUGAAAUGCGUAGAGAUCCGGAGGAACACCGAAGGCGAAGGCAGUGUCCUGGCGCGUAUCUGACGCUGAGGUGCGAAAGCCAGGGGAGCGAACGGGAUUAGAUACCCCCGUAGUCC
rnacentral:rRNA from 1 species